AAAAAAAACCGCCCCCGCACGACCUCCUCCUUCUCCCGCACCUCCUCCCGCAGCCGCGCCUUUUACCGCUGCCGCGGGUCGCCGGGACGGGAGCCUCCCCACCGCGGGUCGCCGCCUCCGCCCGCCCUUCACCGCUGCCUCCGCGCCUUUCACCGCUGCCGUGGGUCGCCGGGACGGGAGCCUCCCCGGCCGCGGGUCGCCGCCUCCGCCCGCGCUCUUCACCGCGCGCCGCCGGAGCCGCGGGUCGCCGGGAGCCUCUGUAGCUGCCGGAGCCGCCCCGCCGUGGGUCGUCGCCUCCGCCACGCCGCCACGCUGCCACUCCGCCGGAUUCGCAAAUGAGGAAUCAUUGUCCGCAUGCGUUACAAUCAGGGGAUCGUUCCCCAUGUAAAGAUCCGACGAAUACACCUACUCAGGAGACUGCAAAUCAAGCACAUUCUUCUUCGUCACUGCAUGUGCCACGAACCCCUUUGAGCAACAUAACCAACUCAGUUGUAAAUCAAGAUGUUGAAAAACCAAAAAGUGGUAAAAAUUGGUAUGCACGAAUGUCCGAUGAGAAGAGAGCGGAGUACAACCAGAAGCGGCGUAUGGCCCGAGCACACAAGAAGGCUGCAUUUGUCAUUAGUAUUAACCCUGAGGAGGUCUCUCCAACACCUGCUUCUUCAUCACCGGAUGUGCCACGGCCCCCUUUGAGCAACAUAGCCAACUCAAACACAACCGCUGCAACCUCGGCUUAUACCGACCAUCCAUCUGAAGAUGUCGCUCUUGGGCGCAAAAAACGAAGCUCUGAAACGUGGUAUUAAUGUCUAUCCGACGAGGAGAAAGCAGAGCACUGCAAGAAGCUCCGGAUCGCUCGACUAGAGAAGAAAGCUGCAACCACUAGCGUCCAAGUAUCACCUGUGGGUCAUCUAUGCAGAUAGAUGGUCAUAUUGAUUGGCUGCACACAAAUCCCACUUACGAACGACAAACGAUGGAUGUUCAUGGGGUAUUUAACAUGUCACAAGCUCAAGGAGCGCACAUACAAGAAAACUUUCUGCCUCGAACACUUAGCUCUGUUCAAAUGAAAGAGGCAUCUUCUGAGAAGAAACGGCGUCGCAUGAGAGAACAAUAUGAUCAAAUGACGCCGGAAGAAAAAGAAGUUGUCUUGCAGAGGAAACGUGUGCAUAAGAUGGGAAAACGCCAUGCAUCAUCUGAACAGUCCUACAUUGCUGAGCCAACAGGUUGCCACGGCAAUGGUGAAGAAUCCUAUGAUGCUGGAAUAUUAGAGCCUAUGGAGCCCCCUGCCGAAGUGGACGAAUGCUUGCACGACACACAGGAUGGGCAACCAGUGUAUGAUGAUGAUGAUGAUGAAUGCAGGAUAUUUACUGGACAAGGUCAUGAGUUUGAAUCAUACAGAGUGACACCUAAUGUUUCACAACAGGCUUUUGCGGCUGAUGAUCCUUAUGACUAUGUCUACAAGAAUCUACCAAUUACCAACUAAGCAUCAUGUUUUGAAGCCAGUAAAAGACUGUGUCCAUUGUGGAGCAAUGAGGUUCCAGUAUGAAGGUCCAGCCUUCUGUUGCAGAAAAGGUAAAGUUAAGGUAUGUAUCCCAGAGGUUUCUCAAGAGCUGCAACGAUUGUUUUCAAGCCAGGUAGACCAGGAUGCAAAAUACUUUAGACAACACAUUCGAUAUUUCAACUCCCACUUCUCCUUCACAAGUCUUGGAGUUACCCUUGACCAGCGGGUCAACACCGCGGCAAGAACCGGUGUAUAUACAUUUCGUGCUCAUGGUCAGUUGUACCACCGUCUAGACCAUCUUGUACCAGGUGGUCACGGAUCCAGACAUCUACUAUCUACUACCACUAUAAAAGCACGAGAGGGGCAGAUCCAGAUCAUCUCAGCCACCUAAUCACACGAUCUAACGAUCCACGGUCUUUCUAUGUUUAACGCUAACAAGCCACCAGUCCCACCGAUCGACCCACACCUCCAUAACGAUUUGUCCACGUCCAGAACCGCUCACCCUCGCUGCUAAUCCCGUGCCCAUUCGUGGCUCCAUUAGAAAACUGCUCCCCUCAACGCCGCAUCUACGCACGAACGCGGGGGUGCCGCCCGCAGGGCCGCCACUCCAUUAGAAAACUGCUCCUCCUCCCCGCCGCAUGUCCCGACAGGCUGACGCACCCGGCCGCCGCCAUGCGCACGCCUUCGCCACAUCCUUCUAGCAGCCGGCCUCUUCUUACGCGCAGGAAGGCCACUGGAAGGUCCUCUGCUCAACCGCUGCCACACGUAUGCCAUCGUCACACCCUCUACCACCGUCUCCCUCUGCUGGGUAGACGAGGAAGCCGAUGUCAGCAUCACCAAUGCCAUGUUCCACGACUUCAGGGUCGCCGGAUCUGGGAUAUCCACCCUCUGAAACCGCUGCCCAAGCCCCAAACCGCUAUUCACACCCUGAACAAAUACCGCGUUCGAUGUGUUGAUCGCGUAGGAAACUGCCAGCAUUCACCGCUUUGUUUCCUCCUAGGAGCAGUUCAUGGCGAUUGAGCCGUGAGUUCACGGCCACGGUCGCCGCCGCCGCCGGGGCAGCCACAUCCACUGACCGCAGCAACACCAACAACCAAGUGGACAUAAUGGGUGGGAUACGGAGUGGAUAAGGCCUCCGGCUGUCUCUCGAAGAUUGAGGGAAGAGCCGAGGAGGUAGCUUUCCCGCACAACACUCCAUCUCUCACGAUGUCAGUGAUUCAAUUAGGAUGUGGCACUUUAUUGUGUCUCUAUUGGAGGAAAGGGACACGGAGAAUUGGAAUUACAAAGUUUACACCAGAAACAUAGAGAUAUAAGAACUCAUCUCCAAGCUAUAGUUUAGGAGAGGCGAGCCUACACCUACAGAUGCCAUAUCAUUUUGUGCAGCUACAGAUAGGUUGAUGAUUUGAUUUUCUUAAUUAUCAUCCAAUGUUACCUCAUAAAUCCUUUUGAGCAAGGUAUUGUUUGUGUACAUAUUAAUUGCUCAAGCAUUUUCACCGUCUCUAUUCAAGUUUAUUAUUGCGUGAAAAGUUAGAUGCUUAUAUGUCUGGUGACAUCAAAACAUUUGAUUGUUAAACGUCAAAGAAAGCAACCAAAUAUUUCAUUUGUGAUGUACUGAUAGCAUUUCUUGGUAUUUCUUAUUACACAAACACACUUGCAGAUCACCAACCGUGUUUUUUUAGGUUGUGAAUGCGUCCAAAUUGGUAUUCAACAGAUCAGGCUGCUGCUGCCCCAUGAAUGACCGUUAUGUGAUUCUUUCUAGCAAUAUCCAAAGCCUUAUGAUCAUGCUGCUGCUGCCCCAUGACUGAAUGUGUUUCUGAAAGAGGAUGUCAACAGAGUAUAAUACUGGAAGGAGGAGUGAGCAACAGCCAGAUCAGAGAAGUUAAGAACAAGACACAUGCUUCAGAUUAACUCCUAUUUCUUAACCAGUAUGCUUUUGAUGAUUGAAGUACAUUAGAAAAGUAUAUAUUUCUUCAUAUUAACGGAUUCUAAUGGUAUGAUUUCGGCAUGCAAAUAAUUCUUCCAUAUGUCUGACUAUAAUGUGUUGCCGUGCAAAUAUGCAGAAGGAUGAUCUCACUUUUGGGGACAUGGUUUUGUGAAUCGAUGUGUUAUCUUGACCAAAUAUCUUAGUAUUUGUACAAUGUUGCAAUAUGGACAGCCUUGUCGCCACUUUUACUAGAUUGAUAUAUAAUACUGUAUGUACAAUGAUUCAGUACAUAUAUACCUGUAGCAACUACUAAUCGAAAUUUCUUCUUCCACCUACAAAAAUAUAUAGAAUCUUCCUGCAUAAUUUCAUGUUGAUACCUGAUUUCCAUGUCCAUACUGUUGGGGCGAGCUAAAACUGCAAGGCCUCAUAGUGCAUAGAGGCACCUAAUAAAGUUUUCAGGUUUGUCCCAAGAACUAUUAUAUCCAGACAAGAUAUUUGCUUGCAGAACCACCAGAGUUCUGAACCUUCUAGGUAAUUUCACAUGGUGUUCAGGUUGAGCUGUCCAACAAGUGCAACAUAAUCAGCGGCAAGGCACCCACGAUAUCCUGAUUUGCAUUUAAGUGAUAUAAGAAUCAAGAGAAGGGGGAAAAGAGAGGCGGAAGCAUAAUCUUGGGAGUAGGGGAGAUGCUGACAGACGGUUCGACUUAUUCAUUCACAAAUCUCAACACGCCCGGGACGCACCUUCCCAGUGGAUCUUCUUCCAAGGAGAAGAAUGCCGCUCCGGGAUCUUCCGCUCCACACCGGCAAGCCAGCUGCCGGUGGCACGGGAUCAUGGUGGCGGUGCUGGAGGGGCGCCGCUUGAAUUUGGUUGGGGAUGAUUAGUUGAUGGGACAAGAAAUAUUUGGUCGCCGGUUGUCCGAAUUGGCUGCUAUAAAGCCAUCAUAAUGUGCUCUUCCUAUCUCAUUUAGAAAGGCCUGAAGAUUUUUUAUUUUUAUUUUUUACAAAAAGAACUAAGAUCGAUUAUAAAAAGUUCACCAGAAAUACAAAAGCAUCUAGACACAG